rnacentral:misc_RNA from 1 species
UCCGAGUUGACCCCGGCAGUCUCCCAUGAGUCCCCACCCGAAGUGCUGGCAACACAGGACAAGGGUUGCGCUCGUUACGGGACUUAACCCAACAUCUCACGACACGAGCUGACGACAGCCAUGCAGCACCUGUCACUCGGUUCCCGAAGGCACUCCCGCAUCUCUGCGGGAUUCCGAGGAUGUCAAAGGCAGGUAAGGUUCUUCGCGUUGCAUCGAAUUAAACCACAUGUUCCACCGCUUGUGCGGGCCCCCGUCAAUUUCUUUGAGUUUUAGCCUUGCGGCCGUACUCCCCAGGCGGGGCACUUAAUGCGUUAGCUUCGACACGGACGGAGUCGACACCGCCCACAUCUAGUGCCCAUCGUUUACGGCGUGGACUAC